rnacentral:rRNA from 1 species
UACGGAGGAUCCAAGCGUUAUCCGGAUUCACUGGGUUCAAAGGGUGCGUAGGUGGAAUGACAAGUCAGGGGUGAAAACCUGCAGCUUAACUGUAGAACUGCCAUUGAUACUGUUAUUCUUGAGUACAUUUGAUGUGAGUGGAAUGUGUCGUGUAGCGGUGAAAUGCUUAGAUAUGACACAGAACACCAAUUGCGAAGGCAGCUCACAAAACUGUAACUGACACUGAGGCACGAAAGCGUGGGGAUCAAACAGG